CCACUGAGAAGAUAGUGGCGAACGGGUGAGUAACACGUGGGUAACCCUGCCCAUAAGAGGGGGAGUAACAUCCGGAAACGGGUGCUAAUACCGCAUAGUUUUCUUGAUCGCAUGAUCGGGAAAGGAAAGACGGCCUUUGUGCUGUCGCUUAUGGAUGGACCCGCGGCGUAUUAGUUAGUUGGUGAGGUAACGGCUCACCAAGACGAUGAUACGUAGCCGACCUGAGAGGGUGAUCGGCCACAUUGGGACUGAGACACGGCCCAAACUCCUACGGGAGGCAGCAGUAGGGAAUCUUCCGCAAUGGACGAAAGUCUGACGGAGCAACGCCGCGUGAGUGAAGAAAAGGUUUUCGGAUCGUAAAACUCUGUUGUCAGAGAAGAACAAGUUGGAGAGUAACUGCUCCAGCCUUGACGGUAUCUGACCAGAAAGCCACGGCUAACUACGUGCCAGCCGCCGC
rnacentral:rRNA from 1 species